GGGCCCGCGGCCUAUCAGCUUGUUGGUGGGGUAGUGGCCCACCAAGGCGACGACGGGUAGCCGGCCUGAGAGGGUGACCGGCCACACUGGGACUGAGACACGGCCCAGACUCCUACGGGAGGCAGCAGUGGGGAAUAUUGCGCAAUGGGCGGAAGCCUGACGCAGCGACGCCGCGUGAGGGAUGACGGCCUUCGGGUUGUAAACCUCUUUCAGUAGGGACGAAGCGAAAGUGACGGUACCUACAGAAGAAGCACCGGCCAACUACGUGCCAGCAGCCGCGGUAAUACGUAGGGUGCAAGCGUUGUCCGGAAUUAUUGGGCGUAAAGAGCUCGUAGGCGGUCUGUCGCGUCGGCUGUGAAAACCCGAGGCUCAACCUCGGGCCUGCAGUCGAUACGGGCAAACUAGAGUACUGCAGGGGAGACUGGAAUUCCUGGUGUAGCGGUGAAAUGCGCAGAUAUCAGGAGGAACACCGGUGGCGAAGGCGGGUCUCUGGGCAGUAACUGACGCUGAGGAGCGAAAGCGUGGGGAGCGAACAGGAUUAGAUACCCUGGUAGUCCACGCCGUAAACGUUGGGCGCUAGGUGUGGGGGCCAUUCCACGGUCUCCGUGCCGCAGCUAACGCAUUAAGCGCCCCGCCUGGGGAGUACGGCCGCAAGGCUAAAACUCAAAGGAAUUGACGGGGGCCCGCACAAGCGGCGGAGCAUGUUGCUUAAUUCGAUGCAACGCGAAGAACCUUACCUAGGCUUGACAUGCACGGAAAUCUCGUAGAGAUACGGGGUGCCUUUGGCGUCGUGCACAGGUGGUGCAUGGUUGUCGUCAGCUCGUGUCGUGAGAUGUUGGGUUAAGUCCCGCAACGAGCGCAACCCUCGUUCUAUGUUGCCAGCACGUGAUGGUGGGGACUCAUAGGAGACUGCCGGGGUCAACUCGGAGGAAGGUGGGGAUGACGUCAAAUCAUCAUGCCCCUUAUGUCUAGGGCUGCAAACAUGCUACAAUGGCCGGUACAAAGGGCUGCGAUACCGCGAGGUGGAGCGAAUCCCAAAAAGCCGGUCUCAGUUCGGAUUGGGGUCUGCAACUCGACCCCAUGAAGUUGGAGUCGCUAGUAAUCGCAGAUCAGCAACGCUGCGGUGAAUACGUUCCCGGGCCUUGUACACACCGCCCGUCACGUCACGAAAGUCGGUAACGCCCGAAGCCGGUGGCCCAACCCUUGU
rnacentral:rRNA from 1 species